AUAUAUAUGUGUGUGUGUGUGUGUGUAUAUGUAUAUAUAUAAAGUUAUACACACACACACACACACACACACACACAU
ensembl:miRNA Gm26052 predicted gene, 26052